AAACUUGAGAGUUUGAUCAUGGCUCAGAAUGAACGCUGGCGGCAUGCCUAACACAUGCAAGUCGAACGAAGGCUUCGGCCUUAGUGGCGCACGGGUGCGUAACGCGUGGGAAUCUACCCUUAGGUUCGGAAUAACAGUUGGAAACGACUGCUAAUACCGGAUGAUGACGUAAGUCCAAAGAUUUAUCGCCUAGGGAUGAGCCCGCGUAGGAUUAGCUAGUUGGUGUGGUAAAGGCGCACCAAGGCGACGAUCCUUAGCUGGUCUGAGAGGAUGAUCAGCCACACUGGGACUGAGACACGGCCCAGACUCCUACGGGAGGCAGCAGUGGGGAAUAUUGGACAAUGGGCGAAAGCCUGAUCCAGCAAUGCCGCGUGAG
rnacentral:rRNA from 1 species